rnacentral:rRNA from 1 species
CCUAGGGUGGCAGCAGUGGGGAAUAUUGCGCAAUGGGCGAAAGCAUGAUGCAGCAACGCCGCGUGAAGGAAGACGGUUUUCGGAUUGUAACCUUCUGUUCUUAGUGAAGAAUAAUGACGGUAACUAAGGAGCAAGCCACGGCUAACUACGUUCCAGCAGCCGCGGUAAUACGUAGGUGGCAAGCGUUGUCCGGAAUUACUGGUUGUAAAGGGAGCGUAGGCGGGAAGCCAAGUCAGCUGUGAAAACUACGGGCUUAACCUGUAGACUGCAGUUGAAACUGGCUUUCGUGAGUGAAGUAGAGGUUGGCGGAAUUCCGAGUGUAGCGGUGAAAUGCGUAGAUAUGCGGAGGAACACCGGUGGCGAAGGCGGCCAACUGGGCUUUAACUGACGCGGAGGCUCGAAAGUGUGGGGAGCAAACAGGAUUAGAUACCCCUGUAGUC